UUACGCAUCACAGUUGGUAGUCCUGGAGAUGGGAAUAUCCAACUUAACACCACACUUAUCAGGAAGAGCUUUAGCUGCAUCAUCUUUAAGGCUCGGGUAGCGAUUGGCAGCUAUUUUGACACAAUUGCAGGCGGCGCGCUUGUCUUCAGGGGUUGUAGUCAUGGACUUGAUGCUUUUCACUCCAGUGCAGCACGGAGCAGAUGGAUAACCACCUUGUGUGAGGUAAGAGACACACGGUGCCAAAUUUGCGUCCACGGUGCCACAGUUUAUGGCAGCCUGCCCUUGUUCAACCAUUAGAACAAUGGCUAGCACUGCGAAAACUGAUAUAAUAACUCCCUUCAUUUUUAAAAACUUGAGCUAGCUAGCUAGCUAGAUAUGAGUGGAAAUUUGGCUAGUGAUUUUAUGAGGUAAAUUAGUGUGCUUUGUGGCUUGAUAUGAGGGGGAUAAUUUGAUAGGGUAUUUAUAGUAGUUUUUGAAUGUGUAAAAAUAGAAUGUUUAUGCCAUGCAAUGACAUGAAAAGGGUGCGUUAUUUUGGCUGCC
rnacentral:lncRNA from 1 species